rnacentral:rRNA from 1 species
UUGGAGGGCAAGUCUGGUGCCAGCAGCCGCGGUAAUUCCAGCUCCAAUAGCGUAUAUUAAAGUUGUUGCAGUUAAAAAGCUCGUAGUUGAAUUUCGGGGUCAGUAGGUUGGUCGUGCCACUGGUACGUACUGGUCUCGCUGAUUCCUCCUUCCUGAUGAACCGUAAUGCCAUUAAUUUGGUGUUGCGGGGAGACUGGACUGUUACUUUGAAAAAAUUAGGGUGUUUAAAGCAGGCUAACGCUUGAAUACAUUAGCAUGGAAUAAUGAAAUAGGACGUUCGAUCCUAUUUUGUUGGUUUCUAGGAUUGACGUAAUGAUUAAUAGGGAUAGUUGGGGGCAUUAGUAUUCAAUUGUCAGAGGUGAAAUUCUUGGAUUUAUUGAAGACUAACUACUGCGAAAGCAUUUGCCAAGGAUGUUUUCAUUAAUCAAGAACGAAAGUUAGGGGAUCGAAGACGAUCAGAUACCGUCGUAGUCUUAACCAUAAACUAUGCCGACUAGGGAUCGGAUGAUGUUAAUUUCUUAAUGACUCAUUCGGCGCCUUACGGGAAAC